GUGUAGGUGAACAAGCAGAGGAGGUGAGGUGUAGGGAAGGAGGAGCAGCAGGAGGUGAGGUGUAGGGAAGGAGGAGCAGGAGGAGGAGAACAGCUCCACCCUCCAGCAGAUCCCACAGCAGCAGCAGAAAAGCACCAGUCAGGAGGAGGUGAGGUGUAGGGAAGGAGCAGGAGGAGGUGAGGUGUAGGGAAGGAGGAGCAGCAGGAGGAGAACAGCUCCACCCUCCAGCAGAUCCCACAGCAGCAGCAGAAAAGCACCAGUCAGGAGGAGGUGAGGUGUAGGGAAGGAGGAGCAGGAGGAGGUGAG